AGGUGAGGUCCUAGACAACCAGGUGAGGGGAGGUCCUAGACAACCAGGUGAGGGGGAGGUCCUAGACAACCAGGUGAGGGGGAGGUCCUAGACAACCAGGUGAGAUCCUAGACAACCAGGUGAGGGGAGGUCCUAGACAACCAGGUGAGGGGAGGUCCUAGACAACCAGGUGAGGUCCUAGACAACCAGGUGAGGUCCUAGACAACCAGGUGAGGGGAGGUCCUAGACAACCAGGUGAUGUCCUAGACAACCAGGUGAGGGGAGGUCCUAGACAACCAGGUGAGGGGAGGUCCUAGACAACCAGGUGAGGUCCUAGACAACCAGGUGAGGUCCUAGACAACCAGGGGAGGUCCUAGACAACCAGGUGAGGGGAGGUCCUAGACAACCAGGUGAGGGGAGGUCCUAGACAACCAGGUGAGGGGAGGUCCUAGACAACCAGGUGAGGGGAGGUCCUAGACAACCAGGUGAGGGGAGGUCCUAGACAACCAGGUGAGUGGGAGGUCCUAGACAACCAGGUGAGUGGGAGGUCCUAGACAACCAGGUGAGUGGGAGGUCCUAGACAACCAGGUGAGGGGAGGUCCUAGACAACCAGGCGAGGGGAGGUCCUAGACAACCAGGCGAGGGGAGGUCCUAGACAACCAGGUGAGGGAGGUCCUAGACAACCAGGUGAGGUCCUAGACAACCAGGUGAGGGGGAGGUCCUAGCUAAGUAUAAGGGAGGAGUGAACCUGCAGACACUCUGCCCUACAUGGAAUUAGUUGAGACACCGGCUUUAGGUGCUGGAACGUGGACAGGAUGUGACAUCAUCGACAGGAAGUAGUGACGUCUAGAUGCUGGACGUAGAGAGAAUGUCCUCCACCAGGUGUUUGUAAACCCAGGAGUCUCCCUUCAGCCGCUGUCUCCUCACACACA